GUGAAUUUCCAGACAUUGUAAGUGAUCUACUUCCUGUCAUUGCUGCUCCUACGGAAGAUAUCUACACCUUUAUUAAACAGACUGUACAUCCAUCGUCAACAUACACGUUUGAAUAAGUAUCAAAUAAGAAGAACGGAUUUAAAAGGAAUAACUAUGUUCCAAAUGAUCACGAACGAUUGUCCUCCGAUACAGGGUACGCACCAUCAUAUGAUUUUUUUAAUCUCUGUAUCGAUAGAAGUACACACACUACAACAAGUAGUAGUAUACGUGGGUUACAUAUGGUGGAAUUAUGUAGAAAGAUGGAAGAAUAUAAACAUACAGUUCGGGAACAUGGAUUUGGCAUUAGCAAUAAGAGUAAUAGGAAGUAAUUUAGAAAUCAACUGACAAAGCUUGGACAGAUAUCAACAGUCUAUAGAUGGAUGGUAAGUAUGCGAGAGUGUACCAUAGACAUUACAUGAGCUUGGAAGUUCGAGACAAGCUGAGGUAAACUACGAGAUCCGAUCCACAUUACUGAGUCCCUCACAAUUCGGGUCUGGAUCCGGUCAAAUAUUUCUGUAUUGUUGGUAACAAGCCUGUUUACAUUACAAGUAAUAGUUAAGAGUUACUCCGAUCACGCUCCGAUCGAACUUGGCCAGAAAAAAUUUGACUGAAGCGUGACUGAACUUGUCUGGAUCUGUACUGAUAGUAUGAAAAUAGCCUUCUCUGAUCAAUCAACAAUCACUCUAGUGUUUUUAUUUUUUAAAAACGUUGUAUACAUUAUGAAUAAUGGAAAAAACCUACAUGGAAUUCUGAAAAAGAUACAGUGAGUAUCAUGGUUGUUCAUACAGAUCGC
rnacentral:lncRNA from 1 species